rnacentral:rRNA from 1 species
UACGAGGGGUGCAAGCGUUGCUCGGAAUUAUUGGGCGUAAAGGGUAGGUAGGUGGUCUCAUUUGUCUGCGGUUGAAAGCCCAGGGCUUAACCCUGGAAGUGCCGCAGAAACGGUGAGACUGGAGUCCUUGGAGAGGGUCGUGGAAUUCCCGGUGUAGCGGUGAAAUGCGUAGAGAUCGGGAGGAACACCAGAGGCGAAGGCGGCGACCUGGACAGGUGACUGACACUCAACUACGAAAGCGUGGGGAGCAAACAGG